rnacentral:rRNA from 1 species
AUCUGCUCAGGACGAACGCUGGCGGCGUGCCUAAUACAUGCAAGUCGAGCGCGGGAAGCAAGCAGAACCUCUUCGGAGGUGACGCUUGUGGAACGAGCGGCGGACGGGUGAGUAACACGUGGGCAACCUGCCUGUAAGAUUGGGAUAACCCCGGGAAACCGGAGCUAAUACCGAAUAAUACUUUUUAUCACAUGGUAGAAAGUUGAAAGGCGGCUUUUGCUGUCACUUACAGAUGGGCCCGCGGCGCAUUAGCUAGUUGGUGGGGUAAUGGCCUACCAAGGCGACGAUGCGUAGCCGACCUGAGAGGGUGAUCGGCCACACUGGGACUGAGACACGGCCCAGACUCCUACGGGAGGCAGCAGUAGGGAAUCUUCCGCAAUGGACGAAAGUCUGACGGAGCAACGCCGCGUGAGUGAUGAAGGUUUUCGGAUCGUAAAACUCUGUUGUUAGGGAAGAACAACU